rnacentral:rRNA from 1 species
UCGGGAAUUUUGGGCAAUGGGCGAAAGCCUGACCCAGCAACGCCGCGUGAGGGAUGAAGUAUUUCGGUAUGUAAACCUCGAAAGAAUGGGAAGAAUAAAUGACGGUACCAUUUAUAAGCUCCGGCUAACUACGUGCCAGCAGCCGCGGUAAUACGUAGGGAGCAAGCGUUGUUCGGAUUUACUGGGCGUAAAGGGCGCGUAGGCGGCGCGGUAAGUCACUUGUGAAAUCUCUGAGCUUAACUCAGAACGGCCAAGUGAUACUGCUGUGCUAGAGUGCGGAAGAGGCAACCGGAAUUCUUGGUGUAGCGGUGAAAUGCGUAGAUAUCAAGAGGGACACCUGAGGCGAAGGCGGGUUGCUGGGCCGACACUGACGCUGAUGCGCGAAAGCCAGGGGAGCAAACG